GCGAACCCAGGCUUUUCCUCGUAGUGCCGCUGGGACCGUUGGCGACUCUUGCUGCGUUGUAGGCUUUGUAGUAGUCGAUCUCUGGGCGCUGCGAGCUGAAAGAGCCGAGCUCGCAGGCCAGUCAUCAUGUCGCGUUACGGGCGGUACGGAGGAGAAACCAAGGUGUAUGUUGGUAACCUGGGAACUGGUGCUGGCAAAGGAGAAUUAGAAAGGGCUUUCAGUUAUUAUGGUCCCUUAAGAACUGUGUGGAUUGCCAGAAAUCCUCCGGGAUUUGCCUUUGUGGAAUUUGAAGAUCCUAGAGAUGCAGAAGAUGCAGUGCGAGGCCUGGAUGGGAAAGUGAUUUGUGGUUCCCGAGUGAGAGUUGAACUAUCAACAGGCAUGCCUCGGAGAUCUCGUUUUGAUAGACCACCUGCCCGACGUCCCUUUGAUCCCAAUGAUAGAUGCUAUGAGUGUGGCGAAAAGGGACAUUAUGCUUAUGAUUGUCAUCGCUAUAGCCGCCGAAGAAGAAGCAGGUCACGGUCUAGAUCACAUUCAAGAUCCAGAGGUAGGCGAUACUCUCGCUCUCGCAGCAGGAGCAGGGGAAGGAGGUCAAGAUCGGCAUCUCCUCGGCGAUCAAGAUCUGUGUCUCUUCGUAGAUCAAGAUCAGCUUCACUCAGACGAUCUAGGUCUGGUUCUAUAAAAGGAUCGAGGUAUUUCCAAUCCCGGUCCAGGUCGAGAUCAAGAUCCAGGUCUCUUUCACGACCAAGAAGCAGCCGAUCGAAGUCCAGAUCUCCAUCUCCAAAAAGAAGUCGUUCCCCAUCAGGAAGUCCGCGAAGAAGUGCAAGUCCUGAAAGAGUGGACUGAAGUUCUCAAGUUCACCUUUUAGGGAAAAGUUAUUUUGUUUACAUUAUUAUAAGGGAUUUGUGAUGUCUGUAAAGUGUAACUUAGGGAAGGGUAAUUCAACCAUCUAAUCAAAACGGAUCUGGACUAUUACUCUGUAAAUUCACAGCAGUAAGGUACUACUAGCUUUGGAAUAUAGAAGUGAACAAAGUCUUUAUCUUCAUGGAGCUGGAGCUCUGGAGAGACAAAAUGAACAAAUAUCAGGUGGGUAAUAACUGAUAGGGAGAAUGAUGAAACAAAGGGUAGGGGAUUGGUUGCUGUUGUGUAAACGGUGGUCUAAGGAGGCCUCUGAUAGCAACAACAUUGGGGCCAGAGAGAAAGUUACACCAGCUUCUGAGGGCACAGUUCAUGCAAAGGCCCUAAAGUAGUCUGAGCUGUUGGAGGGUAAGGAAGCCCGUAGGAAGUGAACAGAGGGGAGAGUGGGAAGAGAUGGCAUAGGAAGGGAGGGGAUGUAAGAUAUAGAUCAUGGAGGACUUUGUGUCCUUUGGGAGGGACUCGCUGUUUUCCUUGGAGAGUUUGAGCAGAGUGACAGGAAUUGAAUCAAUUCCCUACAAAUAGAUAUGAGGGUAGUUUCUAAUUACUAUUAUAAUGCUGCAGUAAAUAACCUUGUACAAUACAUUGCACACGUGACCCUGUAUCUAGGAUAAUUCCUAGAAGUUGAAUUGCUGGGUCAAAGGCUCCAGUGCAUUUAUAUUUUUGCUAGGUACUAUUUGCCCUGGUGGAAAUGGAUAGGAGUGCCUAUUUCUCUCUGACAUUGCCCAAUUGGUACACAUGGUGUAACCACAUGGUGGGCUGUCAACCUUGUUGAUUUUUACCAGUCUUGUGUUGAAAAAUGGUGUCUCAGCAUAGCUUGUUUUAAUUGCGGUAAAAUACAUGUUUUCCCCCCACUCUAAAUUGCCGUGUGUUCAAGUCUGGUUUAGGUUUCCUUGCUCUCAACACACUGUUUAUAGUAGGAGACUGUAAUUGCCUGUUUACUUUUCCGUCGCUAUUCUACCACAAGACAAGUUGUGACAGCAGGUACCGAGCCUUGUUCUGUUUCUUCAUUGCCUAGUGCUUAUUAACACUUAAAUAUCUGAUGAAUGAAAAGUGAAUUCAUGGAUGAGUGAAUGAAUUCUAAUCUGUUAAACCAAACAGAAAAUUGGAACCUCCUCUCUUCUGUGAGACCCUUAUAAUUAAUCACCAUUUCAAUUAAAAGUCCAUAUUUUCAGUUUAGCUACCUGUAGGACUGACUCCUGUCUGAUCUGCCUGCAGGGGAUUUAGAUCCUUAGGCUGCUAUUUACAAUGCCCAGCUCUACUCUGCAACUCUAGUGCAAGGUUUUUAUCCCCUCAUCUGGGUUAACGCUGAGAGUUCUGCUCAGAAGGGGUGUGGGGAAUUUCUGUGCAGAAAGUUCUCUGCAGAAAGGGUACAAACUUACUAACACCCCAAGAACUGGUGAGCCUAGGUGAGUCAGCCUAAUCUACAUAAGGAAGGUCAAGUCAUCCAUUUCUUAUGACUGUCAGAUGCCUAAGGUUAUGUCCUAUUCACCUCUUUAGAUUCCCUGGGUUCUUAGUGACUGAAGCUUGAAGAUGGCUGGAUGUGAUUCUAUACAAAGACCCUGUUUUUAUCUCGGUUUAUAAUAUAUCUCUAAGAAAUCUGGAUUCUAGGAAAUGAAUCCUUUCGCUGCCGAGGAUAAAAAAUCUGGCUGUAAAGAAAUAAUCUCUCUGGCAGAGGUAAAGGUAGAUGGGUCUGUUAUCUUGGUCAUUGACAUUGUUGGACUAUCACCAGAGUUCCUGGGCCCCUAUAACAAGAAUUCCUUUGCCUAAGAACAGGUACCCUGUGACUUUUUGUGUUACAGUGGCUGAGUUGAGUAACUGCAGACUGUAAGUGCCACAAAGCUUAAAAUAUUUACUCUCUUGACCUUUAAAGAAAAUGUUUGCCAACACCUGGUUUAGACAUUUCUCUUUUCUCUCUUUUUUUUUUUGGCCACGCUGCACGGCUCUCAGGAUCUUAGUUCCCCGACCAGGGGUUGGACCCACACCCUCAUCAGUCAAAGCCUGGAGUCCUAACCACUGGACCACCAGGGAAUUCCCAUGUUUCUCUUUAACUGUUCACAAUCUUCAAAAUAAUUAUCUCUGAAGAUCUUGAGUACCAGGAUUAUUGGUAGGGUUGCCAGGGCCUUACCAAGACAUACUUUUGAUCUGGGAAGAUUGUUUCUCUGUGACUCAUUCUUGAAGUACUUCCUGAAGCUAGAGAGCAAAUUCUAGCUAAACACACUAAUGUGCUUAAAAUACUGGUGAAUGUUAUGAGGCAAUAAUGAGGAAAGCUUUUACACUAGGGCAGUGGUUCUCAGGCCUGGUUACAAAUUAGGAUCACCCAGGGAGCUUCAAAAAUAUUCUAAUGAAAUCAGUUGCUGAGGGUGAAGCUUGGGCAUUAAUAUUCUAAAUAUCUCCCUUGGUGAUUCUAAUAUACAACCAAAAUUGAAAACUGCUGCUUAAAGACUAGUGCUAACCAGCUCCAGCUUCACUAGUUAUUAGACAGACUGGCCUAGCUUAUUGCUAUUAGAAAGCAGCACUCACAUGUGAUUCAAAGGAGGAUUCUACAAUACAGCCUCUAGGAUUCUCUGAUCCUUUCUCUAACCAAAUGACACUAUGCGGGAAUGGAACCUUUCUAUGAAAAAGGGGUUUAUAUUAGUACCAGUAGAGGUCACUGUGCUCAAAGAAAUACUCAUUUUUUAAAAAGUUAGCAUUCUGUUCAAGAGAUUUGAAGGAGUAUUUAUCAGAACUAUUGGGUUAUAUCCAACACUAAGUCAACUCCAGACAUGGCCUCUCGUCACAAUUGCUUCAAAGCAUCUAAGGCUCUAUUGCAUGCGUACAUUUAUAUACAUUUAUAGUUGUUAUAUCUUCCUGAUACAUUGAUGUUUUUAUCCUUAUAAAAUAUCUCUCGUACUAUUUCUUGGUUUUUUUUUUUUUUUUUUUUUGCGGUACACGGGCCUCUCACUGUUGUGGCCUCUCCCGUUGCGGAGCACAGGCUCCGGACGCGCAGGCUCAGUGGCCAUGGCUCACGGGCCCAGCCACUCCGCAGCAUGUGGGAUCUUCCCAGACCGGGGCACGAACCCGUGUCCCCUGCAUCGGCAGGCGGACUCUCAACCACUGCGCCACCAGGGAAGCCCCUAUUUCUUGUUUUUAAGUCUAUUUUUUCUGAUAUUAAUAUAGCCACUCUAUCCGUUUUAUGAUUAAUGUUUGUGUGGUAUAUUUU